rnacentral:rRNA from 1 species
UUGCCAGCCCGCUCAAGAAACUCAAAGGAAGUUGACGGGGCCCGCACAAGCGGUGGAGUAUGUGGUUUAAUUCGAUGCAACGCGAAGAACUUACCUGGUCUUGACAUCCCGGAGACCCUUAGGAAACUAGGGGGUGCUUCCAUCUGGAAGAAUCUGGAGACAGGUGCUGCAUGGCUGUCGUCAGCUCGUGUCGUGAGAUGUUGGGUUAAGUCCCGCAACGAGCGCAACCCUUGCCUUUAGUUGCCAGCAGUUCGGCUGGGCACUCUAAAGGGACUGCCGGUGUUAAACCGGAGGAAGGUGGGGAUGACGUCAAGUCCUCAUGGCCUUUAUGACCAGGGCUACACACGUACUACAAUGGCCGAUACAAAGGGCAGCGACACUGCGAGGUGAAGCCAAUCCCGUAAAAUCGGUCUCAGUCCGGAUUGGAGUCUGCAACUCGACUCCAUGAAGUUGGAAUCGCUAGUAAUCGUGGAUCAGCAUGCCACGGUGAAUACGUUCCCGGGCCUU